UUUUAAUAAAUAGUCCAUUGAUAAGUAAAAACAAUACAAAAGAACAGGAAGUUCUCAUCUCUCAGUUCUCAGAGCACAACAGGAAAUUGUAGCCAUAAACCAUUUGAAGAAGGAUCUGCUUUUCUCUUGACUGACCAGCACUUUGGAUAAAUGAAUAACAGCUUCUACUCACAGAGCUCCCACAUGGCUUCCUUCAGGUUUUUAUCAUCACCUUGAACCUCAAGAAUCUUCCUGCCUCGCUACACCCAAAGAAAGAACACUGGGAAACGAAUGUGAACUAUCUGCAUUUUUGUUUUUCUUCCCGGGUUAUUUAUACUUUCUGAAUCCAAUUCUCCCUAUGCAACAAGAGAACUGUUCGGCUCUGCAAACAUAUAUUGUAUCUAGGAUAUACUGCAACAUAUCCAACAUAUAAAGGACUGCUUGCCAUCUAGGGGAGGGGGUGGAGGGAGGGAGGGAAAAAAAAAAAAUCGGAACAGAAAAAAAAAAAAAAAAAAAAAAAAAGAAUCUUCCUGCCUCACCCUGUUUGUAGUGGCUAGAAACUGGAAAUUGAAUGGAUGCCCACCAAUUGGAGAAUGGCUGAGUAAACUAUGGUACAUGAAUGUUAUGGAAUAUUAUUGUUCUGUAAGAAAUGACCAACAGAAUGAUUUCAGAAAGGCCUGGAGAGACUUACAUGAACUGAUGCUGAGUGAAACGAGCAGGGCCAGCAGAUCAUUGUACACGGCAAUAACAAUAUUACAUGAUCAAUUCUGAUGGAUGUAGCUCUCCUCAACAAUGAGAUGAAGCAAAUCAGUUCCAUUUGUUCAAUAAUGAAGAGAACCAGCUAUACCCAGUGAAAGAACUAUGGGAAAUAAGUAUGAACCACAACACAGCAUUUCCACUUCCUUCUGUUUUUGUUCACCUGCAUUUUUGUUUUCCUUCUCAGGUUAUUUUUACCUUAUUUCUAAGUCUGAUUUUUCUUGUGCAGCAAAAUAACUCUACGGAUAUGUACACAUAUAAUGUGUUUAACAUAUACUUUAAUAUGUUUAAUAUGUAUUGAUCUACCUGCCAUCUAGGGGAGGGGGUGGGGGAAAGGAGGAGAAAAGCUGGAACAGGUUUUACAAGGGUCAAUGUUGAAAAAUUAUCCAUGUAAAUAUCUUGUAAAUAAAAAGCUAUAAUAAAAAAAUUUAAAAAAGAA